AGGGCAGACGGUGGAUGCCUUGGCUCUCGGAGGCGAUGAAGGACGUGAUAAGCUGCGAUAAGCCGGGGGUAGAUGCAAAUAAUCUUUGAUCCUCGGAUUUCCGAAUGGGGCAACCCGUCAGAUUGAAGAUCUGUCACCUCGUAAGAGGAGCGAACGUGGGGAACUGAAACAUCUAAGUACCCAUAGGAGAAGAAAAUAAAAAUGAUUCCGCAAGUAGUGGCGAGCGAACGCGGAAGAGCCCAAACCGAUAUUGUUUAGGCAAUAUCGGGGUUGUAGGACUACGAUGUAGCAAGAACUUAGUAAAGUAGAACGUUUUGGAAAGAACGGCCAUAGACGGUGAUAGCCCGGUAUACGACUUACUGACGAAGCUUAGUAGUAUCCUGAGUAGCGCGGGGCACGAGAAAUCCUGUGUGAAUUAGCGGGGCCCAUCCCGUAAGGCUAAAUACUCCCGAGAGACCGAUAGCGAACCAGUACCGUGAGGGAAAGGUGAAAAGAACCUCGAACAGAGGAGUGAAAUAGACCCUGAACCCGUCUGCCUACAAGCGGUCGGAGCAGCGUAAGCUGUGACGGCGUGCCUUUUGCAUAAUGAACCUACGAGUUACUUUCUCCGGCAAGGUUAAGUAUUUCAGAUACGGAGCCGAAGCGAAAGCGAGUCUGAACAGGGCGGUAUAGUCGGAGGGAGUAGACGCGAAACCAAGUGAUCUACCCAUGGUCAGGUUGAAGGUUAGGUAACACUAACUGGAGGACCGAACCGGUAAGCGUUGAAAAGCUUUCGGAUGAACUGUGGGUAGGGGUGAAAGGCUAAUCAAACUUGGAGAUAGCUCGUACUCCCCGAAAUGCAUUUAGGUGCAGCCUAGGGUUAGUAUAAUAUGAGGUAGAGCGACUGAUUGGAUGCGAGGGCUUCACCGCCUAUCAAGUCCAGAUAAACUCCGAAUGCGUAUUAUAUAUUGCCCUGGAGUGAGGGCGCGGGUGCUAAGGUCCGCGUCCGAGAGGAGAAGAAUCCAGACCAUCAGCUAAGGUCCCCAAAUAACAGUUAAGUUGAACUAACGAAGUCAGACUGCAGAGACAGCUAGGAUGUUGGCUUGGAAGCAGCCAUUCAUUUAAAGAGUGCGUAACAGCUCACUAGUCGAGGAGUUUGGCGUGGAUAAUACUCGGGCAUAAACUGUUUACCGAAGCUAUGGAUGUCGUAAGACAUGGUAGGGGAGCAUUCCAGCAGCGUAGAAGGUGAGGGAUAACCCUUGCUGGAGCGACUGGAAAAGCAAAUGUAGGUAUAAGUAACGAUAAAGGAAGUGAGAAACUUCCUCGCCGAAAGACUAAGGUUUCCUGAUCAACGUUAAUCGGAUCAGGGUAAGUCGGGACCUAAGGAUAAGCCGAACGGCGAUUCCGAUGGAAGAAUGGUUUAAUAUUCCCAUACUACUUUAUAGAGCGAUGUGGAGACGGAGAAGUGACAAUCCUGCCAACUGACGGAAUAGUUGGUUAAAGGGUGUAGACGUUGAUCGUGGUAGGCAAAUCCGCCAUGAGAGUCGAACCUGACAGUAUACCGAGUACUUGUACAAGGUAAUAUGGAUGUAAGCAGGCUCCCUAGAAAAUCCGCUAAGCAUAUUUAUAAAGUACCCGUACCGUAAACGGACACACGUAGUUGGGUUGAGAAUACUGAGGCGCUCGAGUGAUUCACGGUUAAGGAACUAGGCAAAUUGACCCUGUAACUUCGGGAUAAAGGGUCCCUACUGAAAGGUAGGGCGCAGAGAAUAGGUCCAGGCAACUGUUUAACAAAAACACAUGGCUGUGCGAAAUAGAAAUAUGAAGUAUACAGCCUGACACCUGCCCGGUGCUGGAAGGUUAAGAGGAGAGCUCAUCGCAAGAGAAGGUUUGAAUUGAAGCCCCAGUAAACGGCGGCCGUAACUAUAACGGUCCUAAGGUAGCGAAAUUCCUUGUCGGGUAAGUUCCGACCUGCACGAAUGGUGUAAUGAUCUGGACACUGUCUCAACCGUGAGCUCGGUGAAAUUGUAGUAUCGGUGAAGAUGCCGAUUACCCGCGAUGGGACGAAAAGACCCCGUGAACCUUUACUAUAGCUUUACAUUGAAUUUGGGCAACUAAUGUGUAGGAUAGGCCGGAGACUAUGAAGCGGGCACGCCAGUGUUUGUGGAGUCACCGUUGAAAUACGGCCCUUUGGUUGUUUGAGUUCUAACUCGUGGAAANAAGUUCCGACCUGCACGAAUGGUGUAAUGAUCUGGACACUGUCUCAACCGUGAGCUCGGUGAAAUUGUAGUAUCGGUGAAGAUGCCGAUUACCCGCGAUGGGACGAAAAGACCCCGUGAACCUUUACUAUAGCUUUACAUUGAAUUUGGGCAACUAAUGUGUAGGAUAGGCCGGAGACUAUGAAGCGGGUACGCCAGUAUUUGUGGAGUCAUCGUUGAAAUACGGCCCUUUGGUUGUUUGAGUUCUAACCCGCGAAAUGUGGGGACACUGUAUGGUGGGUAGUUUGACUGGGGUGGUCGCCUCCAAAAGAGUAACGGAGGCUUCUAAAGGUACCCUCAGACCGAUUGGUAACCGGUCGUAGAGUGUAAUGGCAUAAGGGUGCUUGACUGGGAGACAUACAAGUCGAUCAGGUAGGAAACUAGAGCAUAGUGAUCCGGUGGUUCCGUAUGGAAGGGCCAUCGCUCAAAGGAUAAAAGGUACUCCGGGGAUAACAGGCUGAUCGCUCCCAAGAGCUCAUAUCGACGGAGCGGUUUGGCACCUCGAUGUCGGCUCGUCACAUCCUGGGGCUGGAGAAGGUCCCAAGGGUUGGGCUGUUCGCCCAUUAAAGUGGCACGCGAGCUGGGUUCAGAACGUCGUGAGACAGUUCGGUCUCUAUCUAUCGUGGGCGUAGGAUAUUUGAGAGGCUCUGACACUAGUACGAGAGGACCGUGUUGGACAGACCACUGGUUUACCGGUUGUACCGCCAGGUGCACCGCCGGGUAGCUAAGUCUGGAUUGGAUAAGUGCUGAAAGCAUCUAAGUACGAAGCCAGCCUCAAGAUUAGAUAUCCCUGAGGGUCGUCGUAGACUACGACGUUGA
rnacentral:rRNA from 1 species